GGGCGCAGCCCUGACGCAGCAACGCCGCGUGAGUGAUGAAGGCCCUCGGGUUGUAAAGCUCUGUCUAGAGGAAAGAAAUGGACGGUGGUUAAUACCCAUUGUACUGAACGGUACCCGCCAAG
rnacentral:rRNA from 1 species